UAAAGCAGGGUUUUGCAGCCCUGUUACACCCGUUCCUCUUCGACUCUUCUGAAAUGAAAUGGAAUUUAUGGAUUGCAAAACUGCCCAUCAUUGUGGCGACCAAAAACAUGUCCACAAACUUCCCAGAUAUCCUGUAAGAGAUGGAAAUGUCCCUGGUGAAUAGCCACUGCAUUAAACUACACUUUAAACAGCUAGGCAAUAUAGCGAGAUUUCUAAAAGAAUUUUUUUUUUAAAUUAGCAGGGCACAGUGGUGUAUGCCAAGUUGUUACUUGUGAGGAUGAGAUAGGAGGAUGGCUUGAGCCCUCAAGUUCAAGACCACCCUGGGCAAUAUACUGAGACCCCCAUCUCUAAAAAAAAUGUUUUUUAAAAGAAGCUAUCCUUUAGAGACAAGACAUAUUUGGAACAGCCAGCCUCUGAUAGUCACAGCACAACAACAUCUAAUCCUGGAAGAGACCCCAGAGAGAUACUCAACCCUAUUGUUCUGUAAGUAAGGCACGAAGGCCCAGCAAGUUUACAUUCCAGCCCCAAGUCAUCCAGCAAUCGUGUUACAGGGCGGGCAGGUUCCAGCCAUCUGCCUUGCUAUUCAGGAAUCAAAAAAUGAAUUGGAUUAUAAAGUGAGGGCUGUUCCUAGACUUUGUAGAGUCAUAAAAAGCACACCGGUAUAAAUUCUUUAAGAAGUGGAUACAAUUAGCCUAUGAUAGUUCUUCAUUAUUAUUAUUUCUUAAAAUGAAAAUGUCUAAAAAUUAUUAAUAACCAUCAACACCUGAAUAUAUGUCCUGAAGAUUCUUGGGACAUUCUAGGCAAGAUAAAAGAAAGCCCUUUUUUAAAAUCCACCAAUUAUAUCCUAAUGACAUAAUGAACAUUAAUAAUUUACUCAGUGUUCUAGAAAUCUGUAUGCCCGUAUUAGCCAUUCAUAAUAACUGCUAGAACUUACUGUGUCUUUAUUCCGUAUAAGGCACUAUGCUAUAUACUUUAUAUAAUUUCUCCAAUUAUUUCUCACCCCAAGAGGUAGAUACCUUUAUCAUCUCCACUUUACAAAUAAGGAAAAUGAGGUCCCAGAGCUUCUUUAUUUAAAAAAAAAAAAAAAAAGUGGACUAUUAUUCAAAAUCAUGUCUGUCUAUUCCAAGCUCAAUCACCUUUUCAGAAAUCUCACCCUGGAACUAAAUUCAAUACGUGUUUAGAGAUAUUCCAGCAGGCUCUCUGGUCGUCCCGUUUGUCAGACAGCCGCUUCUUCUAGUGCAGCGCCAGCCACAUCCCGGAGGCACCAUGGUAAAAGUGAAGGUCGGAAUAAAUGGCUUUGGUCAUAUUGGGCACCCAGUCACCAGGGCUGCUUUUAUCUGGAUGGAUAUUGUUGCCAUCAAUGACCCCUUCAUUGACCUCAACUGCGUGGUCUACAUGUUCCAGUAUGAUUCCACCCUUGGCAAAUUCCAUGGCACAGUCAAGGCUGAGAACGGGAAGUUGUCAUCAAUGGAAAUCCCAUAACCAUCUUCCAGGAGCGAAAUCCCACCAAAAUCAAAUGGGGCGAGGCAGGUGCAGAGUAUGUUGUGGAGUCCACUGGCAUCUUCACCACCAUGGAGAAGGCAGGGGCUCACCUACGGGGGGGUGCCAAAAGGGUCAUCAUCUCUGCCCCGUCUGCUCAUGCCCCCAUGUUUGUGAUGGGUCUGAACCAUAAGAAGUAUGAAAACAGCCUCACCAUUGUCAGCAAUGCCUUCCUGCACCACCAACUGCUUACCCCCCUUAACAACUUCAGCAUUGUGGAGGGACUCAUGACCACAGUCCAUGACAUGACUGCCACCCAGAAGACUGUGGAUGGCCCUCUGGGAAGUUGUGGUGUGAUGGUCGCGGGGCUCUCAAGAACGUCAUCCCUGCCUCAACUGGCGCAGCCAAGGCUGUGGGCAAGGUCAUCCCUGAGCUGAAUGGGAAGCUCACUGGCAUGGCCUUCCGUGUCCCUACUGCCAGCGUGUCGGUCGUGGAUCUCACCUGCCAUCUGGAGAAAGCUGCCAAAUACAAUGAUAUCAAGAAGGUGGUGAAGCAGGUGUCGGAGGGCCUCCUCAAGGGCAUCCUGGGUUACACCGAGCACCAGGUCGUCUCCUCUGACUUCAACAGUGACAACCAUUCUUCCACCUUUGAUGCUGGGGCUGGCAUUGCCCUCAAUGACCAUUUUGCCAAACUCAUUGCCUGGUAUGAUAAUGAAUUUGGCUACCGCAACAGGGUGGUGGAUCUUACGGCCCACAUGACUUCCAAGGAGUAAGAACCCCCAGACCACCAACCCCAGCAAAGCAUGAGAGGAAGAGAGAGGCCCUUAGCUGCUGGGGUACCCCUGCUACCCAGUCCCCCACCCCAUGGAGAAUCUCCCCUCAACAUAGUUUCCAUACCAGACCCCCUGAAAAACAGGA